GCUUAGAGUUUGAUCCUGGCUCAGGAUGAACGCUGGCGGCGUGCUUAACACAUGCAAGUCGAACGGGCUCUUCGGAGCUAGUGGCGGACGGGUGAGUAACGCGUGAGAAUCUGCCCUUAGGAGGGGGACAACAGCUGGAAACGGCUGCUAAUACCCCAUAUGGCGAGAGCUGAAACUAAUUGGCCUAAGGAUGAGCUCGCGACUGAUUAGCUAGUUGGUGGGGUAAGAGCCUACCAAGGCGACGAUCAGUAGCUGGUCUGAGAGGAUGAUCAGCCACACUGGGACUGAGACACGGCCCAGACUCCUACGGGAGGCAGCAGUGGGGAAUUUUCCGCAAUGGGCGAAAGCCUGACGGAGCAACGCCGCGUGCGGGAGGAAGGCCUGUGGGCUGUAAACCGCUUUUCUCAGGGAAGAUAAUGACGGUACCUGAGGAAUCAGCAUCGGCUAACUCCGUGCCAGCAGCCGCGGUAAUACGGGGGAUGCAAGCGUUAUCCGGAAUUAUUGGGCGUAAAGCGUCCGUAGGCGGUCAAGCAAGUCUGCUGUUAAAUCGCGGAGCUUAACUCCGAACAUGCAGUGGAAACUGUUUGACUAGAGUGCGGUAGGGGUUGAGGGAAUUCCCAGUGUAGCGGUGAAAUGCGUAGAUAUUGGGAAGAACACCAGUGGCGAAGGCGCUCAACUGGGCCGCAACUGACGCUGAUGGACGAAAGCUAGGGGAGCGAAAGGGAUUAGAUACCCCUGUAGUC
rnacentral:rRNA from 1 species